rnacentral:rRNA from 1 species
AUUGAACGCUGGCGGCAUGCCUUACACAUGCAAGUCGAACGGUAACAGGUCUUCGGAUGCUGACGAGUGGCGAACGGGUGAGUAAUACAUCGGAACGUGCCUAGUAGUGGGGGAUAACUACUCGAAAGAGUGGCUAAUACCGCAUGAGAUCUACGGAUGAAAGCAGGGGUUCGCAAGACCUUGUGCUACUAGAGCGGCCGAUGGCAGAUUAGGGAGUUGGUGGGAUAAAAGCUUACCAAGCCGACGAUCUGUAGCUGAUCUGAGAGGACGAUCAGCCACACUGGGACUGAGACACGGCCCAGACUCCUACGGGAGGCAGCAGUGGGGAAUUUUGGACAAUGGGCGAAAGCCUGAUCCAGCAAUGCCGCGUGCAGGAUGAAGGCCUUCGGGUUGUAAACUGCUUUUGUACGGAACGAAAAGCCCCGGGUUAAUACCCUGGGGUCAUGACGGUACCGUAAGAAUAAGCACCGGCUAACUACGUGCCAGCAGCCGCGGUAA